UAAGUAAACCUAAGCCUGAAACGAAAGGGUCUGCCAGCCAGCAGGAUAAUCGACGUCCAGUGAAUACUCAGGCGGAGGUUGGCCAAAAGCCGGCGUCGACGAGCUCUGAUAAAGCGGGUAAAGGGGGCAUGUCGAUGAAGCCCGCUGUGUCGGGCAGCGGCAACAACUCUAACGCAUCAAGACAGACGCACAAAACCGAUGAUGGAAGUACCGGUGGUGGUAAACAGAAAGGACCAACAGGCAAGGCAUUAAGUAACAGGUGAAUGGUGUGCGUGCGGAAGAAGAAUCAUGUGAAUAAAUGUCAGUUUGUCCUCGAGGACUCUAUGGUCGAUGGGACCUCUCUCUACAUAUGCAGUGUGUAGCUUGUGAAAGUGGUUGUAUAGACAAGUAAUAUUUCAUUCGUGCAUGUGUGCUCUUCGUUGAUAUCUGUAUCGCGCUUGUGUUGGUGAAUUUGUACGGUGGAUACUGAAAUGAUACUAUAGUGAAUUUGUUAUAAUAGAUAUUU